CUUCGACUGGCUCAACCUCCACGGCACGGCGUAGCCGCGCAGGCUACAGUCCGCCCAAGCGCCGGGAUGUGCAAGGCGUUCUGGGGCGUGUGUACGCCGACUAAUAUUGGUGAAGAUAAAGCUGCCGAUGUGGUGCUCACUGCUCACCUCGGAUGCAAUUCAAAAUUAUGUUGAUUUAUGUUCCUCUGUGUUACAGUUUAUUCUGGUUUUUAGAAAUACUAAUGUUUUUUCAGUAAGGACAGUGGCUAUUCUUAUUUUGACAUAGAGUGUGGUAGAUGAACAUGUCUUCAUUUCAGGUUGAAGGCAUUCCAAAUUCACUUAUAAUAGAAGCUCAAUAAUGCACUUAGUCUACCACCAAAUUCAAAUUAUUGAAAGAUCAAUCCAACAUUAAUUUGCCUCAGAUACAGUCUGGUGCAUUUUCCUUAACAUGACACUCUUUUUAGAGUGAUAACCUUCAUUUCAGGUUGACGGCAUUUCAAAGAAACUUCAAGAUUGCAAGAUAAUGAAAGCGUAAUUAUAUAUUUUUUGCAGUGGCAAGAUGAAAUUGUAUAAAAGAGACAAAGAAGAGCUGCUUCAUGUCCUUAAUCAUCGGUGCCCUUCUCCAGCGACCAACGUAUAUUCAUGCAUGAUGCUAAUGUGUGGAGACUAUGCCAGUGGAGAGACCAACGACAAUUACCUUGAGAUAGUGGGAUGUGCAUGGAAGGAGCGACUAACUAUGUAGAGGAAAGCUGCGCUCGCCGGCACCAGUCAGGGGCCUAAAUGAUUGAGGAGUGAAAUUAGAUCAUGGCCUUUCAUGUUUGAAGGGAUAUAGUAUUACGAUAACUCUCAAAAAUCAAUAUUGUAUAAUGACAGAAGUUAAUAAUCUAAAUCAGCAGGAGCAAGCUUUGGAUGAGUGUAUAUACUAGCGAGAUGUGCGGAAAGCUAAGCGGGUUAAUGGAAGAUGAGAAUGGUCGAAGGUAAUCAGAAUUCUCCGGUUAGUUAUAAGAUGCUCUUUGGGUGUGGUGUCUUUCAUAAAGUUUGAAGAUUAUUGAACAACUAAAAGUCAUUUUGUCCUUUUCAAAAAAAGUCAUUUUGUCUAUUUGAUGGUUAUAUCUCUGACAAGAGACCCCAUCUUGUCCUUAGUACCCAAUUUGUCAAUAUGUGUGCUUUAUGAUAAUUUUUUUGUUUGUUAGUAUUAGAAAGAGUGUCACAUAUCUAGGAUACUUGUGGAGCCAUUGGUUGGUACAUACGAUUUGAGGAUUACCAGAUAACAGUCUUAAUUGUCAAAAAGUUUUUUACAUUAACAUUUAAUGUUCUUGAUGUAUUAUCAGAAAUGAGCAAUGUCUAAUCAUUGGGUGACAACUAAUGCACUAGCUUUGUUUUAGUUUUGUGUAACAAUGGUCUCAGCUUAGGGAGUCAGAUAUUAACAUAUAAAGCAUAACAUGAUCACACCGCAAUUUGCAAAAUAUUCACUCUGUAAGGAAGUGAAAUACCUUCUCAUUAUAUGUGAUGUUCUCCAGUCCUAAGUAUGUGUUUUGUCUGAGCUGAAGUUUAUUUCUUUACACUCAAUUGCCCGUAUUUAUUGGUUAUUAUUUUCUCGAUUCACCAACGGUGACAGCAGAGUUGCGGUGACGGUGUCAACCAUGAUGUUAUAGGGAGAUGCACUACUGGAUGCCAUUCUAUUUGCUCCAUGUGGAAUUUGGUAAAAUUGAUUCAUGUUUUAAAUUCAAAAGUUAUGUUCUUUCAGGUUGUAAACUGCAUCCUAUAGUUAUUCAUGCAUUUUUGUCUACGCGAUGACACGUAUAAAACGCAUUGUCAAUGUUUAGAUGAUGGUGGUAUAAGAAGAAAAUAAACUGCUGUCUUUUAUCCUCGACAAGAUAUUUUGGGUCCUCUUUCUGUGCUAGCAUCUUUUCUUUUGGAAUGGGAUAGUUAAUGGUGCUCUUAUAAAAAAUUUGUUGUCUCCCUUCAUUCCGAAAUAUAAGCCCUUUUAGAGAUUUCAAUAAGGACUACAUACGGAUGUAUAAGCUUCAUAUGUAGUCCAUAUUGGAAUCUCUAGAAAGGCUUAUAUUUAGGAACGGAGGGAGUACAAGAAAAACAACUGCGGCCACCUUUUUUUAGUUACUCUAUUCCAAGGUUGGUACUGGAAGAUUUCAGAAGGAAAAUGAAUGCAAAACAAACUAUGGAGAAAGUAAUAUGUGCAAUAUACCAAACUGGAGGAAGAAAUACAAAUCAAGAUAAGAACAUUACAUCAGUGGUGGUUUGAAAGAGGCAAAAGCAGGGAGGAAGGAGAAGAGAAUUACUGGAAAAAAACGAAAUGGAAAUGACCUGAAGGAGGAACUUUGAAGGUAAACUGUGAUGGGCUUUCUUUUCUGGAAAUAGUAAUGGUGGCUGGGGAUCUAUCAUUAGAGACGAUCAAAGAGAUGAUAUCGUAUGUACGAUGGGUAAAACUCUGAAUAUACUACGUCACUUGCAUGUUGAGAUUGUGGCGGCUCACGAAUGAGCACAAUUAGUUGUGACUGCUAAGUAAAGUUGAGGUAUAAGCAAUAUUAGUUUUGAGACUAGCGGGUGUGGAACAUGAAGGGAAAGAUCUCUCUUGAGGUCUGCAUUACUAUGCUGGAUCUGAAGGAGUUUCUCUACUAAAACUUCUACAGUUUUAAAACUUGUGUACUCCAGUAGAGAUUGUAAUAAAGUAGCACAUUCCCUAACCGCCCUGGGUUGUAGUUUAAAUAUAGAAGCAAGCAUUGUAAUGGACCAUGAUGUAUCUGUUGUAAUUGAACAAGUGUCAUGCCACUUAGUUGUGACGUAUAUGUAAUGCAACUGUCUGCAAAUUUUUUUCUUGUGUUUAACUUGUA